GAACAAAGAGAAGCAAAGGCUCUUUAGAAAGCCAGGUGAUGUCCUAGCCACAUCAGAAAAUUAUAUUGAAGAACAUGGAACAGAAGCAUUUGAAAUGCUUAUAGCCACUAGCAAGGUAACUAGAGGUGGUGAGGAGCAGCUGGAAAAUGUGGGACAAACUUAAGUUGUUUUUGUUCAUACUGCUACAUUUGCUUUGGCUAAAACACAUACAAAUUGUGUAAAUUUGAGGCAAUAUGUCCAGGAUAUUUUUUUAUUUUGUAAAUUAUAUUAUAGUAGUAAAAUUUUGAAAUUGGUCAUUAUUAAUGUUUA